rnacentral:rRNA from 1 species
GACGAACCGAGCGAACGUUAUUCGGAAUCACUGGGCUUAAAGGGCGCGUAGGCGGGCCUGAAAGUCAGGGGUGAAAGCCCCAGCUCAACUGGGGAAGUGCCUCUGAUACUGUAGGCCUCGAGGGAGGUAGGGGCGUGCGGGAACUUCCGGUGGAGCGGUGAAAUGCGUAGAUAUCGGAAGGAACACCGGUGGCGAAAGCGGCGCGCUGGACCUCUUCUGACGCUGAGGCGCGAAAGCCAGGGGAGCGGAACGGGG